rnacentral:rRNA from 1 species
AACGAACGCUGGCGGCAUGCCUAACACAUGCAAGUCGAACGAGACCUUCCGGUCUAGUGGCGCACGUGUGCGUAACGCGUGGGAACCUGCCCUUAGGUUCGGAAUAACUCCCCGAAAGGGGUGCUAAUACCGGAUAAUGUCUUCGGACCAAAGAUUUAUCGCCUUUGGAUGGGCCCGCGUUGGAUUAGCUAGUUGGUAGGGUAAAAGCCUACCAAGGCGACGAUCCAUAGCUGGUCUGAGAGGAUGAUCAGCCACACUGGGACUGAGACACGGCCCAGACUCCUACGGGAGGCAGCAGUGGGGAAUAUUGGACAAUGGGCGAAAGCCUGAUCCAGCAAUGCCGCGUGAGUGAUGAAGGCCUUAGGGUUGUAAAGCUCUUUUACCCGGGAUGAUAAUGACAGUACCGGGAGAAUAAGCUCCGGCUAACUCCGUG